CUACCUGUGUUCUCGACCCAGCCACCAUUUCUCCUAUGCUCCCAGUCUGUGCAACUGCUUCCCUUGCCAGCUCCAGAUUUCCCCUGCUAGCUGCAAGCCAGACGAGAUCACUUGGCAGGCCAACUCCAGUCUAUACCCAUAGGUUGCCAGCCACUGAGCUAUUUCAUGGUUUAUAAAGUAGUGACAUGCUGAUAUCCUCCCCAGGCUGAUCAAGGAAAUGGACCUUUGCAGGUAAACCUAGUGCAAGCAAGGCUUUAGUCCCUCUGUCAUAGAACAGUUCAUUUGUAACCUAAUGGUAUCUGGAGAGAACUGGUGUUAUUGUGGUUUUAAGCCCCAUCUCUCUGCAACUCAUCCAAACAACCAAAAUGGACUCGAGUUGCUCAAGUGUCGUUUGUGAUGGAUUAGAACAGCAUGUGUACUAUGAAGGUUCACACCACACUGAAAGAUCAAACCAGGGUUUCAAACUGUUUUGGCUGGAUGGUCUUUACCUGCACUGGAACAGUUUCUGGUAUGGAUUUUAAUACAUUUUAGUCUCAUUCACAUUGGCCAGCCCACACCAUGAUAGGAUUAGUUUUGCCCAUAACCAUGUUGUAACAGUUGUGCUUAGUAAGGGUGGUCAGGCUCCAAGCUGACACCUUUGGGGAAUAUAUUGGGGAAAGCAGGUAUAAUUGUCAAGGGCGCGCCUAUCCUAAUCUGAGUUCUGGCCACUGCCAGGAUGAACAUAGAAGCUUUAAAUAGCAGAGGACAGAAAACUACUGUGAAGUUGUUUUGUCUCAUUUCAUGAAGUAUCCUUUCCUACUUAUCCAGCCCUUUCUGUAUGUUAGUGAUGCCUUUGGAUAUAGUAUCAACAUAUAUAUAAAAAAUCUCAAAUACUUCAGGCUUAUGCAUGGAUUCUAAGGUGCCAUGCCCAAGAGCAUUCAGUAGCGUUGGUAGUUGCCUUUUUGCACUAAGCAAAAUCCUGUACUACUUUAAAAAGAUAUUACAUGAAGGAACUUAUUUAAAAUGCUUUAUACGGGUUAAUUCUGGUAUCGGUGACAAGUGUUCCCUGUUCAGGUUUGUUGUCUUCACUUGGUUCCACCCCGCCACCCCCAAGGUUUGUAGUGCCUGAGACUUGUCAGGCUUUGCCUUGCUAAGCAAGAUAAAUGGAGAGGGGGUUUUUUAUUUGCUGUCUAAGGAACCAAGUGUCUAGUGAACUGCAGAUAUGUAGGGAAACAAAGUGAUGAAGUAGUAGACAAGUCAGACAGUCUUGUAUCUCCAGAGAAGACCGUAGUGUCCCAAGUUAAUGUCCAGUUUAUGUACAUUUAUUAUAGAAAUAACUGUAAACUGCAAGUAGCUUUUUAAAUGUAUUAAAUAAUUUAGAAUUAAUAUGUGUAUUUCUAAGCAGAUUUGCUUAAAAUUGCUACAGAUGUUUGCUACAUAUGCAUAUUAUCAGCAGAAAAGGCAAGUCAGCUAACUUAGACUUUCACAGACCACAUUUCUGUCAGAGUUAAUUUAAAAGCACAAUAAUUUAAACAUGUUUGUCCAAAUGGAGUGAAGCCUUUUUAAAAGUUGUUUUGAUUUGAGUGUCAGGGUAUUUCGGCCAAAAAAAAGUAUAAUCUGGUCUGGUCUAAUCCAUGGUAUGGAGAUGUCUAAUAAAGUGUUUGUAGAACAGUUUGUCCUGAAAUACCUGCCUAAAGCAGGAAGGCAAUGAAAGCAGAGCAUGUACAGAAGUGUGGGAUUUGUUAUUAUCCAUUGAGUCAAAGCUUUGGUGCAAUACUGUUGAAGCUUUAUCUUGCGAAUUUACAUCAUGGAUACUCAUGUCUGUUUUGUCUAAUUUUCAGUGUCAGGGAAAAUUAAACUUGGAGGAUGUAGCAAAGGCUUGUGCCAAAUCUGAGAAGGCAGCUUUUAGAGAAUGGCUUUCUUGAUGAUGAUGGCAUAUUUAGUUGCUGGUGUUUCAGAAAAAAUGAUCAAUUUGUCUGCAUCCCAGCAGGAACUAUGCAUUUGCAAGACUGAGAAAGCUAAGCUUCAGUAAAAGGGUAUUGAUGAUAAAUUCAGGGUGUCUUAGACAGCGAGUAAUAACUACAUUUGAGAGUGGCCCUAUAGCCACAAACUGCAGGGUGGAACAAAAAUUGGAGGUACAGGCAGCAAAAGGAAGUUAGCCAUUGCUUUUAUUAUGGAAGACCCUCAGAAGGUGUGAGUGAAUGGGGUUCCUGCAGUGUCGGCCUUAUUCAUGUUUUUACGUAUACUUUGGUAAAGUACACAUUUAACUGAGGGCUAUUAAGUCUUCCUAGCUGAACUUCUUUGGUGUAAACCUCUUACAAACCUGUAUGAUAUUAAUACACAGAGAUGGUAAAAUGGGAUGUUAGAAGAAAAUCAACUGUAAUGAAAACGGCAUACUUCUGUAUGCUGAGCAGAGGUUUGAGAUCUGAAUCCUGUUUAGUUGCACAGGAUAUUUGUGCAGACUUUGGGAUCUACAAAUACAAGGGUUUUUUGUUCAUCUGCUUUUUGCACUUAAAUAUUUGUUUUAUAGUGGAAUGUAAAAUUUGAUAAUAAAUGUGUAUAACAUGCCUUUUUACAUUACAUUGGCUAUAUGGUGUGGUUUAUUCCAGACAUUUUAUUACACUAUUAAAGACAGGUACUUUGACACCUGC